GGCGCUGACGAGUGGCGGACGGGUGAGUAACGCGUAGGAAUCUGCCUCAUAGUGGGGGACAACGUGGGGAAACCCACGCUAAUACCGCAUACGCCCUGAGGGGGAAAGGAGGGGACCUUCGGGCCUUUCGCUAUCGGAUGAGCCUGCGUGGGAUUAGCUAGUUGGUGGGGUAAAGGCUCACCAAGGCGACGAUCCCUAGCUGGUCUGAGAGGACGACCAGCCACACUGGGACUGAGACACGGCCCAGACUCCUACGGGAGGCAGCAGUGGGGAAUAUUGGACAAUGGGCGCAAGCCUGAUCCAGCAAUACCGCGUGUGUGAAGAAGGCCUUAGGGUCGUAAAGCACUUUUGUUAGGGAGGAAGAAGUAUGUGCUAAUAACACAUAUGACUGACGUUACCUAAAGAAUAAGCACCGGCUAACUCUGUGCCAGCAGCCGCGGUAAUACAGAGGGUGCAAGCGUUAAUCGGAAUUACUGGGCGUAAAGGGUGCGUAGGUGGACGCAUAAGUCGGAUGUGAAAUCCCUGGGCUUAACCUAGGAACUGCAUUCGAAACUAUGAGUCUAGAGUAUGGUAGAGGUAAGUGGAAUUUCCGGUGUAGCGGUGAAAUGCGUAGAUAUCGGAAGGAACACCAGUGG
rnacentral:rRNA from 1 species